UGGUGGAGUGAUUUGUCUGGUUAAUUCCGAUAACGAACGAGACCUUAACCUGCUAAAUAGUCACGCGAAUUCUUAUUCGCGGCAGACUUCUUAGAGGGACUAUUGACGUUUAGUCAAUGGAAGUUUGAGGCAAUAACA
rnacentral:rRNA from 1 species